CGCCUCUAAAGGAAAGGUGGAAAAUUAAUUCUAAGUAUAUCCUCCUUCUUGGGAUAGGAUCCUUGGGUGGUAUGUGAUGAUGAAGCAGGUUGAGGAGCUAGGUGCUUGAGGUGGUGUGAAAGGAGCCUGGGAGGUUCUGAAGCCCUUUUAAGUUGAGCUGGGGGCAGUGUCAAAAGGGAGAUAGGAUAAUAGCCCCUCUACUGUUAACUGUAAACUGUGAGUCUCCUUUAAAAUCUUUGACACAAGCAGUUAAAUGGUCUGGUUCUUAAGAUUUACCAAAUUAUGUUGCAAUCAAUUUUCUGUAUCUGUCUGCACUAAGCUUUAAA
rnacentral:lncRNA from 1 species